rnacentral:rRNA from 1 species
GACGAACGCUGGCGGCGUGCCUAAUACAUGCAAGUAGAACGCACAGUUUAUACCGUAGCUUGCUACACCAUAGACUGUGAGUUGCGAACGGGUGAGUAACGCGUAGGUAACCUGCCUGGUAGCGGGGGAUAACUAUUGGAAACGAUAGCUAAUACCGCAUAAUAUUGAUUAUUGCAUGAUAAUUGAUUGAAAGAUGCUAUUGCAUCACUACCAGAUGGACCUGCGUUGUAUUAGCUAGUAGGUGAGGUAACGGCUCACCUAGGCGACGAUACAUAGCCGACCGAGGAGGGUGAUCGGCCACACGGGAACUGGAACACGGCCCAGACUCCUACGGGAGGCAGCAGUAGGGAAUCUUCGGCAAAGGACGAAAGUCUGACCGAGCAACGCCGCGUGAGUGAGGAAGGUGUUCGGAUCGUAAGGCUCUGUUGUAGGGGAGGAACGGGUGUGGGAGUGGAAAGUUCACACUGUGACGGAAUCUACCAGAAAGGGACGGCUAACUACGUG